GACGAACGCUGGCGGCGUGCUUAACACAUGCAAGUCGAACGGAAAGGCCCUGCGCUUGUGGGGUGCUCGAGUGGCGAACGGGGGAGUAACACGCGAGUAACCUGCCCCUAACUGUGGGAUAACUUCAGGAAAAUGGGGCGAAUACCGGAUAGGAGCUCCUGCUGCACGGGGGGGGUUGGAAAGAUUCGGCGGUGGGGGAUGGAAUGGCGGGUUAUCGGCUGGUUGGUGGGGUAGGGGCGGACCAAGGCUUAGAAGGGUAGCCGGCCUGAGAGGGUGACCGGCCUCCUUGGGACUGCGGUACGGCCCAGUCUCCUACGUGACGCAGCGGUGGGGAAUCUUGCGCAGCAGCCGGGAGCCUGUUGCGGCAGCGCCGCGUUCGGAAUGACGGGCUUCGAGUUGUAAACCGCUUUCGCCUGUGCCGAAGCGUGAGUGACGGUAAUGGGUAAAGAAGCACCGGCUAACUACGUG
rnacentral:rRNA from 1 species